rnacentral:rRNA from 1 species
AAUCUUGGACAAUGGGGGAAACCCUGAUCCAGCCAUCCCGCGUGUAUGAUGAAGGCCNNNGGGUUNUCAAGUACUUUUGGCAGNGACNAAAAGGUAUCCCCUAAUACGGGAUACUGCUGACGGUAUCUGCAGAAUAAGCACCGGCUAACUACGUGCCAGCAGCCGCGGUAAUACGUAGGUUGCAAGCGUUAAUCGGAAUUACUGGGCGUAAAGCGUGCGCAGGCGGUUCGGCAAGAAGGAUGUGAAAUCCCAGGGCUUAACCUUGGAACUGCAUUUUUAACUGCCGAGCUAGAGUAUGUCAGAGGGGGGUAGAAUUCCACGUGUAGCAGUGAAAUGCGUAGAUAUGUGGAGGAAUACCGAUGGCGAAGGCAGCCCCCUGGGAUAAUACUGACGCUCAGACACGAAAGCGUGGGGAGCAAACAGG